AUUUGGAGGCAAUAGCAUCGGAACCCCAUGACUUAAACAUGAUAACAGUGGGAAGUGUGGAUACCUUGUUGCAGGAGGACAAAAGUUUCUUUGACAAAAUCUGUGAAACUAUAGUUUUGGACGAGUGCCCAGAAAUAGUUUAUGAAAAUUCGGCUGAGUGUGAAGAACGAUGUCCGGCAUGUUUCGUAAAGCAACAUUCCCUCCAGACCUGCCAUCGGCUGAUCACGAAAGA